AGCGAACGCUGGCGGCAGGCCUAACACAUGCAAGUCGAACGAAGCCUUCGGGCUUAGUGGCGGACGGGUGAGUAACACGUGGGAACGUACCUUUUGGUUCGGAAUAACGCAGAGAAAUUUGCGCUAAUACCGAAUGAGCCCUUCGGGGGAAAGAUUUAUCGCCGAAAGAUCGGCCCGCGUUGGAUUAGGUAGUUGGUGUGGUAAAGGCGCACCAAGCCUACGAUCCAUAGCUGGUCUGAGAGGAGGAACAGCCACACUGGGACAGAGACACGGCCAACACUCCUACGGGGGGAGGCAGUGGGGAAUAUUGCGCAAGGGGGGAAAGCCUGAGGCAGCUAGGCCGCGUGAAUGAUGAAGGUCUUAGCAUUGUAAAAUUCUUUUACCAGGGACGAUAAUGACGGUACCUGGAGAAAAAGCCCCGGCUAACUCCGUGCCAGCAGCCGCCGUAACAC
rnacentral:rRNA from 1 species